rnacentral:rRNA from 1 species
CCAAAGGACUUGACGGUGUCCCACCCAACUAGAGGAGCCUGUUCUAUAAUCGAUAAUCCACGAUAUACCUAACCACUUCUUGCCAAUCAGUCUGUAUACCUCCGUCGUAAGCUUACCGUGUGAACGCACAAUAGUAGGCCCAAGGGCUUUAACGCCACAACGUCAGGUCAAGGUGCAACCCAUGAAGUGGAAGCUAUGGGCUACAAUUUCUAACCUAGAACAAACGAAAUACUACAUGAAAUAUAGUCAUGAAGGAGGAUUUAGUAGUAAGUAGGAAAUAGAGAGUCCUACUAAACCCGGCUCUGGGACGUGUACAAACCGCCCGUCACCCUCUUCGAUAGCCUUUCAUAUAGUCCCUAACACCAUCCCGCGUCUUAGAAGAGGUAAGUCGUAACACGGUAAGUAUACUGGAAAGUGUACUUGGAA